UUAUUGCAGCAUGCAUAUCAAGAUGGCCGUCUAGAGGAGGUAGUUCUACGUCAUCUUAGGUCUGAAGAUGGAGAAACUGUGAUAGCUAAAAAUAUUAGGCUGUCAGAGUUCCUUGGUAACAUGCGUAUAAGGUGAACAGAUGCUGUUUUAUAGUCUAGAAUUUGCUUGCUGGAGGGGACCAGAACAUGGAGUGUUGGGCAUGCUAUACUAUUUAUCAAGGUGCAUCUUCUAUCAAAGUAAUAAAAUCGUCAUGCAUUGGAUGGGAAUGUUUGAGAGUUCUCAUCAGCUGUCUAUUUAUGGGAUAAUGAUUUUUAGUAAUGGACAUGCAAAUA